GCCCGGUUAGCUCAAUCGGUAGAGCGUGAGACUCUUAAGGAAUCUCCGUAAAUCUCAAGGUUGCGGGUUCGACCCCCGCAUCGGGCU
rnacentral:tRNA from 1 species